AUUUCCCUACGGGACGCAGCAGUAGGGAAUAUUGCUCAAUGGGGGAAACCCUGAAGCAGCAACGCCGCGUGGAGGAUGAAGGUGUUCGGAUUGUAAAUUCCUUUUGUUAGAGAAGAUAAUGACGGUAUCUAACGAAUAAGCACCGGCUAACUCCGUGCCAGCAGCCGCGGUAAUACGGAGGGUGCAAGCGUUACUCGGAAUCACUGGGCGUAAAGAGCGCGUAGGCGGGAUAGCAAGUAAGAUGUGAAAUCCUAUGGCUUAACCAUAGAACUGCAUUUGAAACUGUUAUUCU
rnacentral:rRNA from 1 species